CCUCUCAUGGCGUAGUGGUAACGCGCCCCAACUAGAGAUCGGGGAUUCUGAGUUCGAUUCUCACUGAGAAGA
rnacentral:tRNA from 1 species